rnacentral:rRNA from 1 species
CCUACGGGAGGCAGCCGUGAGGAAUAUUGGUCAAUGGACGAGAGUCUGAACCAGCCAAGUAGCGUGAAGGAUGACUGCCCUAUGUGUUGUAAACUUCUUUUAUAUGGGAAUAAAAUGUUCCCCGUGUGGGAGUUUGUAUGUCCCAUAUGAAUAAGUAUCUGCUAACUCCGUGCCAGCAGCCGCGGUAAUACGGAGGAUCCGGGCGUUAUCCGGAUUUAUUGGGUUUAAAGUGAGCGUAGGUGGAUUGUUAAGUCAGUUGUGAAAGUUUGCGGCUCAACCGUAAAAUUGCAGUUGACACUGGCAGUCUUGAGUACAGUAGAGGUGGGCGGAAUUCGUGGUGUAGCGGUUAAAUGCUGAGAUAUCACGAAGAACUCCGAUUGCGAAGGCAGCUCACUGGACUGCAACUGACACUGAGGCUCGAAAGUGUGGGUAUCAAACAGGAUUAGAUACCCGAGUAGUC